rnacentral:lncRNA from 10 species
UAUGUUAAAAUGAAGAAAACAGCUUCCCCAUUUGUGUUGAGAUGUGUAAUAUGAUUAGAAUGCAUAGCUUCUUUUUCCAUCUCCAGUGAUUCCUCUACUGAUAUGGUUCUACCAUUUAUUACAUCUUUUUUUCCAUAAUCUCUUUCUCCCAGGGUACCUGGCACAGUUUCUCUGGAUUAAGGCAUAGAAUGGUGUGGAUGAUAUGCCAAAAAUCUAGGAACUCUCUCUCCUCCAGCUGGAAAGAAGAAGCAUUUAUUACCUCACAGUUUCUAUGACUAAAGAAUCCGGGAGUGGCUUAGCUGGGUGAUCUGGAUCACGGUCUCUCAGGACGCUGCAAUCAAGAUGUUGGCUGAGGCCAUGCUCAUCUCAAGGCUCAGUUUGGGGAGGAUCCACUUCUAAUCAAAAUCACAAGGAAACCUGAUGGCAUGGUACCUAGUUUCCCCAAGAGCAAGCAAUCCAAGAGGAUGAGACAAAGAAUUUAAGACUGAAGCCACAGUCUUUUAUCAUUUCAUCCUGUUAGAGUUAUCCUAUCAGUUUUGAAGUACUCAGUGUAUUAGAAACCAGUCAGUAAGUUCACCCCACACUCAAUAUGAGGGGAUUACACAAGGAUAUAAAUGGCAGGAGGCAGGAAUUGUUGUAAACCAUACUGAGAGGCUGCCUAUCACAUGUGCUGAUUAUUGAUUCCUGAACUGAUGUGUUUAAUAUUUAUAGCCUAUUGUAAAUUAAUAAAUGAUCUUCUUUGUGAAUAUCAUUCUACUUACUUUACAGAUGAGGAAAAGUUAAGUAACUUACCCAAGAACAGAGAGAAAGAAAGUGAGAGAAGCA